CCUUCAGCCAUGUAAGGACACAGUGUUCUUCCCCUCUGAAGGUUGAGGCAAUGAAACACCAUCUCGGAAGCGGAAAGUAGCCCUCACCAGAAAACUGAACCUGCUGGUGCCUUGAUCUUGGACUACCUAGCUCCAGAGCUGUGAACACAUUUCUGUUCUUUUAUAUUACCCAGUCUCAAGUAUUUUGUUAUAGCAGCACAUAUGAACUUAAACAGAAUUCAACAAUGUAUAAAAAGAAUUACAUGCUAUGACAAAGUGAGAUUUAUCCCAGGUAUGCAAGGCUGGUUUGACAGGAAAAUCAGUCACUAUAGUCCAUUACAUCAAUAGACUAACUAAGAAAAAUCAUAUCAAUGCAGAAAAAGUAUUUCACUCAAUAGAUGCAGAAAAAGUAUUUCACAAAAUCAAUCAUCCAUUCACCAUAAAAACUCACAGCAAACUAGGAAUAGAGGGGAAUAUCCUCAACUGGAUAAAGAAUAUUUGCAAAAAACCUAUAACCAACAUCAUAAUUAAUGGUGAGAAACUAUAUGCUUUCCCCCUCGGAUCAGAAACAAGAAUGUCUCCUCUCACUACUUCUAGUCAACAUUGCAGGAGGUUCUAGCUAAUACAAUAUGACAAGAAAAGAAAAGGCAUCCAGAUUGGGAAGGACGAAAUAAAACUGUCUUUGUUCACAGAUGACAUAAUUAUUUAUAUAAAGAAAUCCCAAAGAACCAACAAAAAGUGAUCAUAAGAAGGUUGCAGAGACAGCAUCUCACAGUGUUGCCCAGACUGGAGAGCAGUGCACUGCAACCUCUAACUCCUGGGCUCAAGUGAUCCUUCUGCCUCAGCCUCCGGAGUAGCUGGGACUACAGGUGCAUGCCACCAUGCUUGGCAAUAAUCUAUAUAUCUGAUAAUUAUAUAAUUAUAUAGCCACCUCAUCUCUAUUUUUGUUACUAUUUGCAUAAAGUAUCUUUUCCA
rnacentral:lncRNA from 1 species